GAUGAACGCUGGCGGCGUGCCUAAUACAUGCAAGUCGAGCGAACGGACGAGAAGCUUGCUUCUCUGAUGUUAGCGGCGGACGGGUGAGUAACACGUGGAUAACCUACCUAUAAGACUGGGAUAACUUCGGGAAACCGGAGCUAAUACCGGAUAAUAUUUUGAACCGCAUGGUUCAAAAGUGAAAGACGGUCUUGCUGUCACUUAUAGAUGGAUCCGCGCUGCAUUAGCUAGUUGGUAAGGUAACGGCUUACCAAGGCAACGAUGCAUAGCCGACCUGAGAGGGUGAUCGGCCACACUGGAACUGAGAAACGGCCCAGACUCCUACGGGAGGCAGCAGUAGGGAAUCUUCCGCGAUGGGCGAAAGCCUGACGGAGCAACGCCGCGUGAGUGAUGAAGGUCUUCGGAUCGUAAAACUCUGUUAUUAGGGAAGAACAUAUGUGUAAGUAACUGUGCACAUCUUGACGGUACCUAAUCAGAAAGCCACGGCUAACUACGUG
rnacentral:rRNA from 1 species